GGUCCAUGGUGUAGUGGUUUGAAUAUUGGACUAUGAUUCUAGAGACCAGGGUUUGAAUCCCUGCUGAGCCA